rnacentral:rRNA from 1 species
GGGUCGGGGAUAACAGUUGGAAACGACUGCUAAUACCGGAUGUGCCUAAGGGUGAAAGAUUAAUCGCCAGAAGAUGAGCUCGCGUCUGAUUAGCUAGUUGGUGGGGUAAAGGCCUACCAAGGCUCCGAUCAGUAGCUGGUCUGAGAGGAUGAGCAGCCACACUGGGACUGAGACACGGCCCAGACUCCUACGGGAGGCAGCAGUGGGGAAUUUUCCGCAAUGGGCGAAAGCCUGACGGAGCAAGACCGCGUGAGGGAGGAAGGCUCUUGGGUUGUAAACCUCUUUUGUCAGGGAAGAACACAAUGACGGUACCUGACGAAUCAGCCUCGGCUAACUCCGUGCCAGCAGCCGCGGUAAUACGGAGGAGGCAAGCGUUAUCCGGAAUCAUUGGGCGUAAAGCGUCCGUAGGUGGCCGAGUAAGUCUGCUGUCAAAGACCACAGCUCAACUGUGGAAAGGCAGUGGAAACUGCACGGCUAGAGUGCGGUAGGGGUAGAGGGAAUUCCAGGUGUAGCGGUGAAAGAACACCGGUGGCGAAAGCGCUCUACUGGGCCGUAACUGACACUGAGGGACGAAAGCUAGGGGAGCGAAAGGGAUUAGAUACCC